GAAGAUCCUCAUUCUAGUUUUCCAAUAGGUAUAAUUUGUCCCAUUGAAGAGUGGAGGUCUAUUGGUUGCCUGCCCCUCAGCAGGAACAUUGUUAAAGGGUGUUCCCAUCUAGAUCUUUGGCUAAGACGGUUAGGUCUUCAAGAAAUACACAGAGCACCCGCUCUGAUACCACUUGUUGCCCAGAGAUGGUCACCCAAGAGGGGGGUGAAUUGGGUGUUUUAAAACUUUUCGCCUAAUUAAAAAUAAAAUACACAAAUGUAUGAACUAAAGUAAAGAAAGAGGAAUGAGAAAGGUCAAUCGCAAACACAAGGUUUUAUAGUGGUUCGGAGCUUCCACUGCUCCUACAUCCACUCCCCAAAGCACCUUUGGAAAUUUUCACUAUAAUCCAAGAU
rnacentral:lncRNA from 1 species